rnacentral:rRNA from 1 species
GUUGAACGCUGGCGGCAUGCUUUACACAUGCAAGUCGAACGGUAACAGGGUGCUUGCACCGCUGACGAGUGGCGAACGGGUGAGUAAUACAUCGGAAUGUACCCAGUAAUGGGGGAUAACGCUUCGACAGGAGUGCUAAUACUGCAUACGCCCUGAGCGGGAAAGUGGGGGCCCGCAAGGCCUCACGUUAUGGGAGCAGCCGAUGGCGGAUUAGAUAGUUGGUGAGGUAAAGGCUCACCAAGGCGACGAUCAGUAGCGGGUCUUAGAGGACGAUCCGCCACACUGGAACUGAGACACGGUCCAGACUCCUACGGGAGGCAGCAGUGGGGAAUCUUGGACAAUGGGCGAAAGCCUGAUCCAGCAAUGCCGCGUGCGUGAAGAAGGCCUUCGGGUUGUAAAGCGCUUUUGUCUGGGAGCAAAUCCUGGCCUCUAAUACAGGUCGGGGAUGAGAGUACCAGAAGAAUAAGGACCGGCUAACUACGUGCCAGCCGCCGCCGUAA